rnacentral:rRNA from 1 species
CCUACGGGAGACAGCAGUGGGGGAUAUUGCACAAUGGGGGAAACCCUGAUGCAGCGACGCCGCGUGUGGGAAGACGGUCCUCUGGAUUGUAAACCACUGUCCCCAGGGACGAAGAUGACGGUACCUGGGGAGGAAGCUCCGACAAACUACGUGCCAGCAGCCGCGGUAAUACGUAGGGAGCGAGCGUUGUCCGGAAUUACUGGGGGUAAAGGGAGCGUAGGCGGGGAUGCAAGUUGGGUGUAAAAACUACCGGCUCAACUGGUAGUCGCACUCAAAACUGCAGCUCUUGAGUGAAGUAGAGGGAGGCGGAAUUCCUGGUGUAGCGGUGAAAUGCGUAGAUAUUAGGAGGAACACCAGUGGCGAAGGCGGCCUGCUGGGCUUUUACUGACGCUGAGGCUCGAAAGUGUGGGGAGCAAACAGGAUUAGAUACCCCUGUAGUC